rnacentral:rRNA from 1 species
UUUCGAAGGAGCUAAUACCGCAUACGUCCUACGGAGAAAGCAGGGGACCUUCGGGCCUUGCGCUAUCAGAUGAGCCUAGGUCGGAUUAGCUAGUUGGUGGGGUAAUGGCUCACCAAGGCGACGAUCCGUAACUGGUCUGAGAGGAUGAUCAGUCACACUGGAACUGAGACACGGUCCAGACUCCUACGGGAGGCAGCAGUGGGGAAUAUUGGACAAUGGGCGAAAGCCUGAUCCAGCCAUGCCGCGUGUGUGAAGAAGGCUUCGGAUUGUAAAGCACUUUAAGUUGGGAGGAAGGCCAGUAAGUAAUACCUUGCUGUUUUGACGUUACCGACAGAAUAAGCACCGGCUAACUCUGUGCCAGCGGCCGCGGUAAUACAGAGGGUGCAAGCGUUAAUCGGAAUUACUGGGCGUAAAGCGCGCGUAGGUGGUUUGUUAAGUUGGAUGUGAAAGCCCCGGGCUCAACCUGGGAACUGCUUCCAAAACUGGCAAGCUAGAGUACGGUAGAGGGUGGUGGAAUUUCCUGUGUAGCGGUGAAAUGCGUAGAUAUAGGAAGGA